UUCAAUGCUCUGCCUACUGUGAAUGAGAUGGAAUUGAUUUCAGCUGUUGUUUCUGGACAUCUAGAUCCUUCUGUUAUGGCAUCGGCACCUGUGGUAUAGAAGUCCCGGAAAAACUGGAUCUCACUGCAAAAUUGAAUAUUAAUCGGGGCGAGGCGCCGCCACAGUUCGGGAGGAAGGGGCUGAGGAAGGCAGCGCUCCGGCAUAUCCCGGUGGAGGUGUACGGGUCGAGGCAGGGGUGGGGUCCACGGACUGCCCGAUAUGCCUUGGUGAGUUUGUGGAUGGAGACAAGAUGAGGGUGCUGCCCAAAUGCUUAGAUGGAGAAUAUGCAUUAUGAGAUAUAACAUAUUGUUUGAAUGUAAUAUUUAAUGAAUAAUGUUUGAAUGAAUGUAUGGAUUUUUAGUAUUAAUAUAUGUAUUUUUAGUUUUC